CUAGGGUUUUAUUAUCUUUCUCUCCCUUGUAGAAACCCUAGCGUUGAAACUCCCAUCCCCAACAACAACAAUCACCAUCAGUGUUGGAUCUGCCAUCACCGAUCCGCUGCUGUUGCCCGUCGCGCAGCACCUCCUUUUGCUGCAGAACCACCACCUCAGUGUCGGCGAUGGCAGAUCUUGAAGGAUGACCAAACCCUAGAGAGCUAUAGGGGUUGUUCUGUUUCCAGAGGCUACCCUUCCUCUAAGAGUUAUACAACCUAACUUUAUAGCUGCUAUUGAAAGAGCUUUGUGCCAAGUUGAUACUCCUUAUACCAUCGGCGUGGUUCAUAGGGAUCCUGAUAAUGGGAGGAUGAGGUUUGCAAUCGUUGGGACGACUGCAGAGCACGUCUUUCACGAAGUAUCUCGUUCAUCCUCCACCGAUGUAUUGACGACAUCAAGCUACAGCACCACUAUGAUUUCAAGGUCAGUCUGUUCUCUCUGUUUUUCUUUCUCUACCUCUCUCGUUCUUCUGGUCUCUCGGUUUCUCCUCUACCUCUCUCUCUUUCUUUUAGUCUCUCAGUUUCUCUUUUUUUGCUUUCACUGUCUUCGGAGAAGUUUGGGUACUUGCCAUUCCAUUUAUAUUGCUUCUAAUAUCUCCAAAAUUUCUCUAUUUUGAAGCAUUUCAUGAACAUCUUGAAUGAUUUUGAUUUGGGAAAAUAAUUUAGAAAAUAAAUUGAUUAACUGUAUUCUGAUUAUGAUAUUCACACACACACACACACACACACACAUAUAUAUUUGAUCAUCUAUGAUAUUCAUAUUUUAAUCAAUAUAAUUAGUGAAGUGAAAUCUCAUGCUUCUAAUUAUGAAUAUCAAUGAGGAAUCAUUAUGUAUGCUAGGUAUUUGACAAAAUGCCACAAUGGAGCAAUAGGGCCUACCAUUUUCUUUAUUGGUUGUUUUUGUUUUUGUUUUUGUUUUUGUUUUUGUUUUUGUUGAGAAAAUUGUUGUCCAUGAAUUUAAUGCACAGUUUGUAAUGUUUUAUUGGCUUAAUAAUGUGAUUAGAGGAAAUUCAACAUUUGUGUAUGCCAUUUUUUUGUUGAAUCUAAAGACACAUUUCUUGAAGGAAGUUACCAGCCAUUUUCAUAUCACUAAAGGCCUCCAGUGCUUCCAAUAUAUGGAUUCUCUGCAUUACAUAAAAAAUGUAUAAGUAUUUACUUGAAACUAACAUGAACAUGUAUACAUCUACCUUCUUAAGCUUUAAUAGCCAAACUGAAACAACAAAAAGUACAAGACAUUUUCAUAAUAUAGCAUUCAAAAAUUAAAUUAUGACAUCCAUUUUCUGCUAUCUAGGACCUCUAUACAAACAUUACGAGUCAAAACAUUUUUAUUGAAUUACAAGCAUCCAAGCCCAUGCUCCUCAAAGCAUUUGACGUAAGGAGCAUUGUGGUAGUAGUUUCAACUGUAGACAUAAAGUCCAUGUGCUUCCCUUUCAGCAAGAGGAAAAUAAAAAAAAAUAAAGGGAAUAGAAAAAAAAAUUAUGUAUUAGUUGCCAACCUAAUACAUGCUAAGAAAUAUAUAUAGGCCAUCCUAAGAAAUAUUUAAGAUUUUUUAGCCUUUUAGGGUAUGUUUCCUUUUUACAUAUAAGAAGUUCAAGAAGGCCUCCAAUGCUUCCAAUAGAUGGAUUCUCUGCAUUACAUAAAAAAUGUAUCAGUAUUUACUUGAAACUAACAUGAACAUGUAUACAUCUACCUUCUUAAGCUUUGAUAGCCAAACUGAAACAACAAAAAGUACUGGAUAUUUUCGUAAUAUAGCAUUCAAAAAUUAAAUUAUGACACCCAUUUUCUGCUGUUUAGGACCUCCAUACAAACAUUACGAGUCAAAACAUUUUUAUUGAAUUACAAGUAUCCAAGCCCAUGCUCCUCAAAGCAUUUGACGUAAGGAGCAUUGUGGCAGCUACACUGAAAGAAUGCCCCCCAACAGUGUAUGCUGCCUGUAAGACAAUCACUAAUUAAAGAUUUAAUAUAUGUACAUAUUUAGUAAUUGUGUGUACCAAUUCUUGUGUGAUGUUUUUUAGAAAAACAAAAAAACACCAUGGUUAAUAUCAGUGCAAAAUCUAGAGUAUUCUCAUACAAAUGAAAAAUAUUUUCAUUGAUCUCUUAA